UGACUAAGCAUCUAAUUUGAAUCAACUGCGGGAGAAAAGAGGAUUGAAGGAACUGUGACAGCUGGAAACUUCCUGAAUGAAAACAGUGCUGAUACUUGUGCAGCAUUUGGCAUCUAUUGUAAAUAUAUCAAUGGCUUUCCAUUGCUACAGAAGGGGUAGAUGCAAUGCCUCACCUGUGUAUGAAGCUAUAGCCUAUAACUGCAAAACAGACAAAUGUUAUUGCCACUUUGGGAUCACUGCUUAUCUUCUGAUAAUAUUGUCAGAAGUGCCUUCAAUAUCAUGUUUUAGUUGUAGCUGGGGGGAAAAGCCAAUGAGGAAGACCAGGAAGAGACGGGAAUCAUUUUAUGAUUCCAAAGAGCUACUAACCUGAUAAGGAUUCUGCUUGACUUACUAGGGGAGG